rnacentral:tRNA from 1 species
AGUAAUGAAGUAAUAAAUACAUUUAGUUUCGACCUAAAAUUAGAGAUUAACUCUCCUUACUU